CCCUGUGCCCAAACACAGUUUCUUCUCGUUCUCCUUCCAUUUUGUUUUCACACAAAAGUGAAAAAAAUAUCUGAAAAAGCAACAGACGCGUAUUCCGACCGAUCAAACAAAAUUUCCACUAUACAGUACAUAUAAUCACAAUCGAGAAUCGAAAACCCGACCGCCACGACGCGCGCUACAUUACACGCACUUAUUGAAAGCCAAACAGCGGAUAGCACUAGCAUCCCACAUACAUAGAUAUAUAGUCAUGGCGCAGAAUAUCAGCCCAGAGCAAAGUGGAGCAGGCGGCGGCGGCACCAAGCACAGCGAUGACUCCAUGCCCGUGAAAGACAAUCACGCCGUGAGCAAAAGACUGCACAAGGAACUGAUGAACCUAAUGAUGGCCAACGAGAGGGACAUCUCGGCGUUUCCGGACGGCGAGAACAUCUUCAAGUGGGUGGGCACCAUAGCGGGUCCACGGAACACGGUGUAUUCGGGGCAAACGUAUCGUUUGUCACUGGACUUUCCCAAUUCGUAUCCGUAUGCAGCGCCCGUGGUGAAGUUCCUGACGUCCUGCUUCCAUCCCAAUGUUGAUCUGCAGGGCGCCAUCUGUUUGGACAUACUGAAGGACAAAUGGUCGGCCCUGUACGAUGUGCGCACCAUUCUGCUGUCCAUACAAUCCCUGCUGGGCGAACCGAACAACGAGAGUCCACUGAAUGCGCAGGCCGCGAUGAUGUGGAACGACCAAAAGGAGUACAAAAAAUAUCUAGACGCCUUCUACGAGAAACACAAGGACACCUAGAGUUUGGCAAUACGUUGUCCUAUAUCCUAUGCUCAUAUUGCGGCGUAUUUAUUUACAUAUAGUGCAAGCAACUCCACUCAUCCGAAGAACCUACUGCCAACCAGCAACCAAUCAUCAAUCACCACCGUAACACCGAACCAUCAGUUAACUGGAUCACCAGAUCAAUUUCAACAAUGUUCAAUGCUGAUAGUUCAUUUGGCAGAAGACCCCGUGCGUUUCUUAUGUAAUUGUCGAUCGAUUGACGGAUAAUCUGGUUUUUAUUCUCAUCUCUUUCCUCCUCCCUACAAAUUAAUGAUAAAUGAAUGUAUUGUUAAUUGUUUUAUAUACGCAUGAUUACUUUUUUGAGAACUACUGCGAGUGCGC
rnacentral:misc_RNA from 1 species